CUGCUCUCCGCUUUCUGCAGAUUGCUAGUUCCAGCGAGGAGAUGGAGCCAGGAGGAUAGGAAACAGGGCUGCUCAUGCAGGGGGCUCUCGGGGAAUGAGGUUGGAACCUGGACCACGGACCUAGGCACAGCCAGCACCAACAGGAAAAGGGCUGCUCUGCCCCAUAUUAGAGAAAAUAGCAACAGCAACGUCAGAGCCAUGACCCCCAGGGAGUGGAGCGGCAGCCGUUGAAGGACCCCUGGGCUGGUACCCUCUUUCAAUGUCUAACAAUUCCAUGAAGGCUUCCUCAGGCCAGCUGCCGUCAUCCAUGAACAACAGACUCCAGCUACUUCAGUCUCGAAUACCAGACACUCUCCAGGAAGCUUCCAGGCCUUCAGCCUCAGACUAGGGCUACGUCAUUGGUACACCCUAGAGGAAGAAGGUGAUGCUGGGAUGAGGAAGACAGUGGGUGUUACUGUGGCUUCCAGCUACUGGAUUCUCUGACAGUCCAUCAUGCAGAUGGUCCUUGUGGAACUCUUUGGUCUGCAAUCAUAGAAGCCAAUCCAAUAAAUGUUUCUGUGAUCAUUUUAAAAUCACAUAUAUCACAAUAUAGAAUGUGUAUGUAUCACA